CGCGGCUGGACGUGCAAGAGACACACAGCAAAGGGACUUCGGCAGGAGCUUCCCACCAUGGAGCUCAGCUUGGAAGGGGACCAACAUGGCCAAGAUUGAGCCGUUGCAGAAGACAACCCCUGGAAUGGCAGCAGCUGCAGUGAAAGUGGAAAGGAAAAGCCUGGCCUCGAGCUCUUUGAUAUGUUGGUAAACUCUCCUAAACGCCCGCCUGCAUUUGGAUCGAGGAUCUGGGUCACUUCGGAGCCUGUCAAGAAAUAUAUUUGGGUUUGGUGAAAAAUCAUCUGUCCCUGCACAAAUUGCAUUUAAAAUAGAGGCGCCUGGAGAAACACAGACACCCCCCCCCUUCCCUUGCUGCAGUCAUUUUUCCAGCGAGAACCGGGGAACCACACGCCAGCCCCACGGAGCGAAGCGAUUUGGGGAACGUGUUUCAGCAGAUAAAGCUUCGAAGGUUUAUUUAAACUUCAAAGCGGGACGUGGUGAAUGGGGUUGCCCAAGAACUUCACUGGUAGGGCUGGAUUCUCCCUUCCGAAGGGAAGACAGUCCAGCCGUGAGAAGGACCUUAACGCACAUUUUUCCCUCCCUUCCUUCCACUUCAGGGAGACUUUUACCUCCCGCAGAUGAUGUGCAAAACACCAAUUUAAAUAAAACCUUCCAAUAGCCUGAAUUAGAAGAAGAAAUGACGAGUCCUUAGACACGAGCUGCC